CAAAUUUCAUGUAAAAUUUUGGCACAUAAUUAAGAUUCUCAAUUAUUAUAUAAAUGUAAUUUAUCUUGUUUGAAUCACGUGAAGCAAACAAAUUGGCAAAAUGAAACACGAAACGUAAUAAGCGAGAAAGGAAGAGAGAACUUCGUCGAAAUUGAUUUAAAAAAUAAUAAAUGUCAAGGACAGAACGUUCGUCGUUCGUUUAUUUUCUAACACUCGAUGUUUCUACGAACUAACCGACGUGCAGUGGUUAGAUAGUCACGUUGUUAUUCGCGCAAAGUUCGAGCCAGAAAGCAGCGGCACGAUUCUGUAGCGUCCUGUAUCAUUAUGUAUCUCGAAACGUGACGAAGAUCAAGGGAAGGAUGCCAUGCCGCGCAGCUGAUUAACUCCUACAAUUAAUUUCGAUUCGUAAAGGAGACGACGACUUGUCGACGAAAAUUCGCGCGAUUCAUUUUCAUUACUUGAAAGAAUAAAAGGAGACGAGAUUAAAAUUAUUGAUUAUUUGUAUAACACGUAUCACAAAUUCGACUGCACCUCGCAGCAUUCCGAAUUUUUCAUUGAUUUAAAUCUAAUUUGUUCAGCAUUUUUUAUGCGAUCGAGUGCGCGUGGUGUACACGAGAUCCACGUCGAAAGCUUGAAAUAAUGGAAAACCCCCGGACGAGUCAAUAAUACGUGAAUACCAUGAAAUUUAUUUUGUCGAAAAUGUAUCACGCACGUGCGCGUAAUACUGAAUUUCGGUUAGUCCCUUCGCAUUUUAAUUAGCCGUUAAUUUGAUUCUAUUAAUCGCACCGUAUCGUGCAAUAGCAGGGCAAAACUCCCGACUGUAAUUUUUUUGAAACUUGCGAUUAUUAAAUAUCGCGGGGAUAAAGUGAAGGGAUUUCGCCCCCGGCGCAUUUAAUCAAUGCAGUCGUAACGAAAUUUUUUUUUAAUUGCCAAAAUCUCGACGUAUAUCCAUAUUUAUCAAAAAUUUCUGUCGUUCGAAACUUGUUUCAUGUUCAUUCGUAAAAAAUUUCGCAUCGUACCGAGCGUUUAUAGCUUUGUGCGAUUAUAUUUUUCUCAUCUUCUAAUUGCAACAUAAUAAAAUGCGUAUGUCAAGAGUGCUGUAUAUUAGAGCGAUCGUAAUUAAUCGUUUUUUCGUUCAAGUGAUAUUUGCGCGAGUGCAACAAAGUAGUCUGGCAAGAGAGGGGGAGGCUUGGGAGGCAACGGAUAACGAACCAAAGCAAAUAUUUAUUUUUUCCUUCUUUUUUAAAAGCACUUUAUUUGAAAAGAUAUAUUUUUAAAUGAAAUUUAAAAUCUCUGCAUUAUUUUAUCCUUCCGUUUUCAACCAGGAUUUAUAUAAAUCGGGAAAUAUUAUAUAAAUUGAUACAAGAGAAAGCAAUAUUCAGAGAUUGCUUUAAUAUGCGCGCAUCACAAGCGUAAAUCGCGUAUUGUAUUCCAUUUAAUUCAACCUAUUUUUAAUAAUUAAUUAUAUUUCUUCUCGCGUACAAAUAUUUUAUUCUAGCUUUUCAUAAUCCGGCCGUUAAUUAUUACAACAAUUACAAUUUCACAAAAACACGUUCAAAAAUGUUUUUAAUAUUGAAACCUCGUUAAAAAAAAAUAUAUAUAUAUAUAUAAAUGAAAUGCCGUGCAAAAUACGUAUUCCACUCGCGAGGUGAAAUAUUCGCGCCUUAAACGAAAGAAGGGAGAGGCCCCCGGGCUAAUCUAAUCGCAUUCGUCGGCGUGCGCACGUCGUCGUCGGCCUCGCACCGCGCGACUCUCAAAAGGCGUCGAAGGCGCGCACGCCAAAGGUGCAUAUGGUAGAGACGUUGCACCUUGACGACUUCGUUUUCUCUUUAUUUUCGCCGUUUGACUUUCGGGUCGAUCGACGAGAAACCGGCGACGUCCUAAGGUGCAUAUUGCACCGGGUCCGCCUUAAUGGCGGGAUGGCGUGACGGCGACUCGCCGGCGGGAGGGGGAGGGAUGGGAACGAACGGAACGAAACGAAACUCGACGGGAACGCGAUGUCGCGUGUCUCGAACCGUGCGUUUCGCGGUCGCGUGUGUCGCGGAUAUUACACGCGAUCCCCUGGAUCCCGCCGCGUCACCGGGCUUCUAAAUGUCCCGCCGCACGAACGCCGCCCCGCUCUCGAGCCCGCCUCUCACUUGCACUUUUAAUUCCCGCGCGCGAGUCGUCGCCUCUUUGCUCGCCCGAGCCGCGCGACUCUGCAAAAUAGUAACGGGAGUUCGCAAUGCCGAUCUCAAUUCCUCGGCGCGUGAUGUCGAAACGCUUUUUUUUUCCUUUCGAUUCGCUUCGCAGAGUUUGCUUUUCUGUUAUUCUCUCUCUCUCUCUCUUUCUCGUCCGAUAUUUAAUUCCGCAUUGGCUGACAUUUUCCCUAUAUUUUUGCUUUCAAAGUUCAAUACUUUAAUGUGAGAGAGGCAGGUACCGGGUUGAGCUAAAUGGGGGGAAAAAAAAAAACACGUUUCGAUCAUUUCAGUAUCCCUCCAUCAAUAAUUUCCGAGUGAAAAUACGAGGAUUAAAUUCUCAACGUGUACAACUGCGCACACGCCGGAGUAGAAAUGCUGCUAGAUUACCUGGCUCUGCGGCCGGUCGGACCCAGAGGAAUCGAUUCCUAGGGAAUCGACUCGAAUGGACCGUCAUUAAAAUAAUAAGCGGUAGUUUCGGAACACCUUGCGAUUGAUUUUAUCUCGCGGAUUAUCCCGGGGAUUUCAACGAUUUGCUUUUUAAUUUUACAAGACGCAACACAAUGCAGUCUUGUUUUAAUCGGGGGUGGGGUGGGAGGGGGGAAGAGGAAACCGCAGGAUAUCGUUAGAUCUUUUUCUACGGCCCAUCUCUUUUUCCGGUGCGGGCGAGCUAAAUAACGUCGCGAUAUGUCCCAAAGUUAAAAGGCGAAACCCCGUCUUGGGCGAAAAGGGCCGCAAGUUCCCAGCCCGCCUUGCGCACUCUCGCGUAUCUCCCUUCGGUCAGGAACUCUCUGUGAUAGCGCACGUCGACAUGUUCUCCCGUUGCGUGGGAAAGUGCUGCAUAAUGACACGGUCAUUCUUUGCACGUCGGGCGAAGCCAAUACAGCGGAAUACGCGCUGUCGGAAAGUCCAUCAAAAGACGGCGGGUAACUGCACGCGCUCCUCGCCGGCAGGAUUUUCUCUUUACGUUUUACCCCGCGAAUUCUCUCUCUCUCUCUUUCUCUCCCUCUCUUUUCGAUAUUAACGGACGGUAAGUCCGUAGUCCGCGCGUUCCUCGGUAGUCUUCGGUAUAAAAUUACAGAAAUGCAUUAUCCACGCUUCGUCGGCGCGAAUCAGAAAUAAUUCGAUCGUUAAAGCCAGAGUCGUCCGUGGCAGCUCUCUCAUUUCGUUAAUUCGAUCCUCCUCCCCAUUCAUCAGUACGGCACUAUAUCCGGAGCGUGACUUUGACUUCGCUCGCACGUGAAUUAUUAGCGUUAGCGAUUUCGGCCAUUCGUUAACACGUUAAGGAAACAGGAGAACCGUCGCCGCGAGCGCGUUGUUAUCGCGGUUGUUGAUCCGGCAUAACACACGUAAUAAGCAGGUGAGAUUUCGUCAUCGCUCGCAGCCAAACGCUACCUCGGGAUAUUUCUGUCCAGGGAAGCCCCGCGGAAAGACGCCGCCGACGCGUCGAUUCUUUGUUCCCGGUGCCGUUAAGUUGCGCGCCCGCUCCUGGAACACCUGACGUCGCCAGGCGGUCAGGCUGGCAGGCAGCGAGCAGCCAACCAGACAACCAGCCAGCCAGCCAGGCAGCCGGGCAGCCCGCGUCGUACCAUGGCUCUAUAAGGAGGAUCGGUCUCGGCGCGUGAAGUGAAGGAUAAUUUUAUCUCGCCGAGGGAAAACAACGUCCCGUAAAUAGCGUGAAUAGUCGUGCAUUUCGUAGCGUAUACGCCUUGCACAAUCCAACCACGUACUCCAUCAUUACGUGAGAAAUUCAAUUACACAUUACUUUUCGAUCCAAGGUUACCAUACUUUACGGUACACGUUUCUCAAUUGCGAGAUACGCAAUACAUUGUGCGAGGUGGAAAGUGUGAGACAGAAAUAUCACGAGGUGAGGCGGAUUCCUACGUCGGCUAACGUGUUUAUUUCUAAUGAUACUUAUGUAAUGCGCGCUUACUAGUAUAACACGUAGUAUCGGGAUCGUGAUAAAAGUACCUUGCACCAGCCCGUCGCGAUUUUAUUGCGCCAGUUUGUUGCGAUUUUAUUGCAUAAAUGAUUCAUCCUCUACGCCGCAGCUAUCCUAAGAGUCUAUAAAAGCCGCGGUAUAUUGCUGCAGUUAAAUUUCGUCUAGCUACAUAUAAAGCGCGAAAAGAUAAUUCUCUCUCUCUCUUUUCCGGCAAUGACACUUAACAGCGGCGAUAAAAAUCUUCAUUGGUCGAAGGGUAAAUAAAAUUCGAAUGAAAUAAUAAUUGGUAAAAAAAAGGGAAGAAAACUUCGAAACAGGAAAAGUAGCAACACUUUUCACCCGACGACCUCGGCGGGCAAUACACCUCGCUCGCAUUGCGAGCUGCUACAAUAACAUCAAUUUAAUUCCGACGACGCGGCACGGCUCCACCGUGUUCUGUUCGUCCGCGAACGGACCCUCGUUUUAAUACGCGAAGGGAGCUCAUUUUGUGCCCGAGCGAGUCUCUCUCUCUCUCUUUCUCCCCGCAACCGAUUCUCGGCCGUUCGUCCUCAGCGACCACGGCGAAAAGGAAGGAUUCAAGGUCAGCGUGUUCUUCUGCACCGCUGCAACUCGGCGCACUCGGUGCCGGCACCUCGCAUUAUACGCGUCUUUCCGUGGGCACACGUCCGUGCCCUGUCUCUUAUUACGCAUAUCCCUACAGUGCCCUCUUUCAAAGAGUACGUUGUUGAGUGCUGGCUUUAGCAAUUCAAUAUAUAUUUUUUAAUCAUACUUCUCUCUCUCUCUCUCUCUCUCUCUCUCUCUCUCUCUCUCUCUCUCUCUCUCUCUCUAUACUUUAUAGAUAUAUACGUUACAUGGUCCGUAUGAAAAAUUCCCAGAUCGCGCGAUUCUCGAAAUAGUUACUAAGGAAGUUCUCGAGGCCGCGUCUGUUUGAAUAUUUAAGAACGAUUUGUGAGAACGAUACCGCCGAUCCUUGCGAGUCCAAGGUAAAUUCGCGCAUGAGAAUACUUAUAUUAUGACGUCAGAAGAAAUGAGAGAAUCGCGAGAAAAUAUACGUGAUGUAUGCAUGAGUGAUUUCCGCGCGCGAGACAGGAAUUUUUACGUUUCGCGGAACCCGCGUGGCUCCCUCAUUGCCAUCGGCACGAAACUUGCUCCUCGUUUCCACCUUGAUUUGGAGAACCGUGAAGAUUUCGGAAACGAUCCGAGUAGCGCGCGACAGACGCGACUUUCAACGGCAUUGUGAACUCGGAAGGAAGAGCGGUUGCAUUGGCGUAAAGUUAUUUGCCAAUUCGGCUAUAUGGUACAGCACCACCGGUGUACGAUACGCGGCCGACGACGCGUCGCGCGCCCGCGACGAUGAAUAUUUUUCGUGCGCGAGAGCUUCCACGCCACGCGAAAUAAAUAUUUAUAUCGUCGCCGGAACGCCCGCGGUAUCGCGGGAGAUCGUAUCGUUUUCGCCCUCGUUUUUCAUGGAGAGAUGCGCGGCAAUCUCGGCAAUUAACAAAAGCUCCUCCAUGCGUACGUUCUGUGCGUGUUCCACGUGGAAAAAAAAAUAUGUAUAGAGGCUGCAGUCGCGAGUGAAUUUAUCCUCCUAUACGAACGUACAACACUUUUAAAGCGGACAAAACAGGCUUUCGUGAAUGUUUAACUCUUGCAAACCGAAUUUUUCGGAGAUUCCGAGAUUUCCUGAGGAAGAUUUAUGUACAUAGUUGGACGGAAUAAGUCUGAUAAGUUUGAUUUAUCUUGAACUAUGAAUUGCAAUACUUAAUAAGACCGUUUUUAUAUAUUUGAGGAAUUUAUUCGAAGAUCUAAGCAAAUCGCGAGAUUGCGUUCUAAUCGAGCACUCGUUUCGCCGCUACGGCUCAAGGAUCAAAAACUAUUAUUAGAGCUCCAUCGUUGAUUCCGAGUAACCGGUGAAAUUACACGUCGUAGAGAAGAAGCCACUUUUCCACGCUCGAAACUUUUUGUAUAAAUACAUAUGCAUGCAUCUCCCUAUCUCCCUCCCCUUCUCUCCCUCCGCGAAAACGUACUCGUCGAGCUCGAACCUCUCGGUUCGCGGGGUAUCCGCGCUGAGCAAUUUCAGGAGGCGAGAGAGAAAUGCAGAAAGCACUCCCCGCGUGUGCGCGCAACCGAGCGGAGCACUUUUGUCCCGUCGGACAAAUUUCGCACACAUUCGCGUGCGCCGCUGCUCGCGAGCGGACGGCGCGGAGGGCCCUCGUCGCGUGCGAAAGAGCGAGAGCGGUACACACGCGAAACUUUUCUAUCGAUCGGCGGUCGUCCGGCGGCCCGGCUCCGCCGGAGGAGGCGCGGGAAGGGCAGCCACGCUGUCCUCGCGUGUCGAUACCGAUACCGCGCCCUCGCCCUCGGCGUCGUCGCCAAGCGAGCAAGCGAGCGAGCGAGCGACGCUCCGUUGUAGUCGCCGGUGCGCCGAUAAGCCGCUUAUCGCCGCGCCGAGAUACGCGGAGCGUAAGGAUCGGGCUCCACGAAUAAGGACGCGUGCUUACCGGUCGUGCGAUGACGUCCGUAUUACGAUCUCGUCGACGCUUUAGGAUGUAGAAUACGUUGGAUCGUAAGGCUGACGAGCGCGUCCGCGAUAAGCACGUUUCUUUAUUGUAAUGAAGAGAGCUGGUUUUAUUUUAGGUAGCCGUCCUUUGUUUUAGCGACAUUGUGGGAAAUUCUUUACUAAUUAGCGUUUCAAUGCCUGAUGUCGUACUGAUGAGCGAACUUUUACUAAAACUGAAACAACAUAAUUUGCUUUGUCUCCUGUCAGUUAUGCUUUUCUAAUUUUUGUUUAAGUAAAAUUAUUUAAAUUAGAUAUGCGCUUUCAGUUUCUGUUAUGACACAUUUAUUUCAUAUUUAAGUCGAGGGUGUGUAUCCAAUACGGUCGGACUAUCAGAAAAUCGCGAAGUAUUUUAUAUUCUGUGCAAAAAAUUGUGUAAGGCUCGGGUUCCCGACGGUCACACACCGGUUUGGAAACAUGCGGGCACAAAGCCUUAAAAAGGUUCAGAUUUGUUCUUUAUUUCUUCUGAGAAAAUAUCGGCAUUAGUGGCGAGACAUUCGAUCUUUCGCAGUAGGAGGCUUCCCGUUCGUCACUUACGGUCGUUAAAGCGAUCCGAACAAAGCGCAAUAUUAUCGCGAAUGUUUGUGUGUGUGUGUGUGUGUGUGUGUGUGUGUGUUUACGGAGUUGAUCCAUUGUCUCGCGAUUACAAUUUUCUUAGAUAAAGCAAAUUACAAAUGAAAUUAGAUCUUGGAUUAUGGAUACAUUUGUGAACUCAACCAGUAGAUACAAGAAAAAUUUUAGAUAAAUUUUAGCCGCGCGAAUUUGUUGUGUUAAAAUAAUUCAACGAUACAUAAAACUUUCAGGUUUCCUUUCGCGUUUCAUUCGAGAAAAGUGUGCGCUGUCAGGACGCAUAAUUUUCAACCGCGUCUCCGCAUCCGAAUGAGAGAAGACGGGGGAUCAGUUCGCACACGACGAACGAUCCGAUCGUUCUCCCCGCAAGUAGCAAACGUUAUUUUUAAUCACCGCGCGGCUGACGUUUCCCGUAAUUGCGGGAUACUUUGCGAUUCGUGAACCGUGGAAGGCGCCUCUCUUUUUUUCCAGAAAAAACGAGAGAGGGAAGGAGGGAACCGUCGCGGACGGUGCUCGAUGCCGGUCACGUAGACCUCGUAGUUCCGAGGGUGCCCUGAGCACGCCGCGGAAUACUAGAAUACUACAGCGGCGAGAAUGCGCGGCGCAUACCCGCAACGCGCGAGCGGAUAACGCGCGCGCGAGCUCACGGCGAGAGAGAGAGACGACGAGCUCGGAAUUUUCGGUUUCCUCUAUCGGAAUGUACUCCACGUUCGCGCGGCAUGAAACGUUCUCUUUCAGCCCGACGACGUGGGGAUUAAUAUUAUUAACGUAUCCCGUAUAAUCGUGGUAACGUCAUCUGCGUACGGUUAUUCGUAUACGUUAAGGUGCGUACGGUGAAUCCGCGCCUAACAACAACAACAACACGGUAGCGGGCUCCUGAAAGAUCGAGCGACGAGAGGGUAAUCUUUUUCUCGUCGUGAUACACCUCCGCGCAACAUCGCGGUAUCUAAUAUCGCGAUAACCGUGAAAUAUGAUGGACGCGGGAUAUCGCGAAAUUGCGGCUUUAAACUGUCCGUAUAAACGUGAAAAGAUAGAGAAGAGAACGAGCGAGAGAGAGAGAAGACUGCGGUAUCCGAUGAAAUGCACGCCGCAUCAGGUGGAUUUGCAUUUUCCUCGCGAGCGAGAUGACUCGGGCUCCUUCGAAGGAACGUAAAUCUCCCGCGCGAUAACGCCGCGCCGAAGGCACUGUUAUGCAUAUUCACGCGCGCGUGAAUCUAGUAAAAAGCAACACGUAACACGCGGGGAAGAACGAGGCGGAGAGGGAGGAGAGAGAAGGGUGACGAGGGAAACGUUACGUCAGCCGGCGCGCGUAUACGUAAUAUAAUAAAUUCGUAAACGAGCCGAGCGGAAUUCGAAACGGUUCGUCCCAAUGACGACGAAGCGUUUUUCGUAUCUCCUCGUGUAGGUGGAUCCCCUUGAUCUUGACGUGUGGCUGUGACCCCCAUAUGAAUUUUCGCCGCCGAAAGAUCCGCCGCCGCCACCGGAGACUGAGAGCGAGACGAUCGCCUUCGCCUUUGCCUUCGAAACCUGCGGCCGCCACCACGUUCGACGCGUUUUCACCUCGCCCCGGCGAACCAUUACCUCGCCCACGUCGCGAGGCACAAUCGCCUAAAGUCCUCCGAUCGGGUAAAACCGGUUUUGGAUCGCGACCAGUGCUGUAACUACCUACUAUGCGGCCGGAUUUCACGAUCGGAGAGACGAGGCCGCUCUCUCGCGCCUUUUACGAGACCCCGCGCGAGAGAAGAAGAGGAGAGGCUUGCGACGAUAUUCCACGACGAAUUAAACCGCUCCGGAAACGUGACGCGAAUCGCCGAUCGAGCUGAGGGACGAGGAAUAAUUUCGUAAAUCUUCGUCGCAAUCUUCCCUAGGAUCCUCCUCCCCCAACUAUUUCCAACGACAUUUGUUUACGCAGAGGAAAUCCAAGUCCAUGCUCCGAUUUAAAUUUGCCUUCGCGUAUGAGGUGUCAUUACAGCUGAGAAAACAAGACGUAAAUGCAUGUGUAAUGUUACGAAUUGUAAAUAGCAUAAUUAAAUUAAUUGUCGAUUUAUUUUUAGUUGCAUAUAAAAGAAUUGGUAAUAAAUUUCUUGAAUUCAAGUAUUUAUAUGUCUCAGUGAGACUAAAGUAUUUUAUACAUUUAAUUUGAAUGCAUAAACGUUUGAACCGAAGGAAUUUAAUCGCAUUGAAAAAUUCAGUAAGAUUAACAUGUCUCUCUCAGUGCGACACCGGUAAGAUUUCUUCGGCGUAACGAUAGAUAGCUCAAAUGAUAAUUCAAUUGAAAAUUCAGUCUACUACUUCAUGCGACUCUUGCUAUGCGGAGUAACUCGUUUCUGCGGAUAUUACCAUCGACGUUUUACGUGCAUUGUCCCGAGCUCAGCAGAAAGCCUUCUCGAGGCGUGCAGCGAUGGAGAAUUUUUUAUUCAGCAGUGUAUUUGUUCGCUCGUCGAUGAGACGCCGAUAUGCUAGCGAGUGCACGUUGCUGGUGUCAUAAGAUACACCGCGAAGCGGAGCGCAAAGGGUUAACGACAUUCCACGUCGUCGAGAGGAGAGAGAUAGAUAGAUACAUAGAUAGAGAUAGCGAAAGAGAGAGAGAGAGAGAGAGAGAGAGAGAAGAAAGAAGGAGCUGCGCCGUACAGCGCGCUAUUAACCCUUAACCGACUCGGCAACACUCGGUCAUGCACCCCCGAUGCGCUAUACGCCGCGUGCAACCCUCGGCGGAAGCGUCGGUGGCGGUGGCACCGGCGGCGGCGGAUCGAUCGCGCGCGCGUUUCUUCGCGUCUCCGACGUAAAAAUUAGUAUUCCGCUCUCGGCGCCGGCCGCGGCGGGCAGCAGGCACUGCGAAAGCGGAGGGAGGGCGAAGGGGAUGCCGGGAAUAGGAGGCAGAGAACGUCGUGGAGCGUUCCCAGGAACGUCCAACCCCCUUUCUCCUCUUUUCCCUCGUCGUAACUGCGCUCGUAUAAUCCCCUACGUGUAUCUACGCCUCUCCCCUUCGAUUUCCUUCUCUUUCUCUCUCCCUCUCGCUUUAAAGUCCUUCCUCUUUCUCGCGGCUUUCUCGCUUCGCGAAACGACGUUUUACGGAAACGGCACGGCGGCGCGCCGCCCGGGGUAGCACUCCUGAAUAUCGAGAACCGGACCGGGUGUCUUCCCCCCCCUCCCCUCUUUCCCCUCCUUGGCUACGGACGUGGGUCGCAUUCGCGUCCGAGACCGCGAAUGCGGACCGAAUGCCGAUUCGUCCCCGCCACCUCCCUUCCUCCCGGAUUCGCGGUUCGUUUUAAUUGCCGGAGUUCAUCACGGAUCCUUUUCGCGCUCGGAACAGCCUCCGAAUCGCCUUCUUUAUCCGCGGACUCAGCCCGUUCGAUACCCGCCGCUGUUCUUCCUGCCCUUUACACUUUAACGAAGAUACAUUCUUCGCCACGGAACACAGAGCGGCUAUUGAUCCGUUGACACUUUCUCGACAAAGUCGUAAAUACAGAGGCAUCAAAUUAAUUGAUUUUUGUUCUCUUAUUCAGCCUGCAAUAAAUUAAAUUGCAAGUGUAAUAUUAUUAGAAUUCAAUAUUGACAUGUUCCUAAAUAUUUACGUGUUGGGUGUCUAGUUUUUUUUUUCUUAAUUAAGGCGUGACACAAAACAAUUUUCGGAGCGCGAAACAUUGCAUAAAAAAUGCCGGAAUGUCGAUAAAAAAAAUAGAAAAAAAAAAGAAA